UAUUAAGUGGAUGUUGUUUUUGGUAUGUGUCUGACCCGAGUCCGGAACCUGUAAUUAAGUGGAUGUUGUUUUUGGUAUGUGUCUGAUCCGAACUUUCUACCAUUAUAUUGCCAAGUUUGCUAUCAUCAAGAACUUUCUACCAUUAUAUUGCCAAGUUUGCUAUCAUCAAGAACUUUCUACCAUUAUACUGCCAUGUUCAACACUAACAAACGUAACACAACCAACUUUAAUUCAAACAUUUUUUUAUUUCUUGUCAAUAACAAUAACAACAAUAGAAACACUGAUUACACGUCAUAAUCUGGUAUACAGCAGGGAUACAGUACACAUCAUAAUCUAGUAUACAGCAGGGAUACAGUAGCACUUGUCAAUAACUCAUCAUGUGUGUGGAUUUUAUGAAGAUGUCAAUGAUGUGUGUAAACUGAUGAUACAUGAUGGAUGAAAAGUCUGAUAAUAUUUUUUUUGAAAAAAUUAUUAAAAAAUGCUUACAAAAGCAAUUAAUACAUAAUUGGACAGCAUUUUUUGUCUGUAUAAACAUGAACAAUAGGUGACAAGUAAACAGUCUAUGGGAAAAGACAAGUGUAUGGAUUAACGGGUGGGAAAAAAGCAAAUAAAGCAAAACAUUAAAAACCAAAAAAGGGACCUGUCGACCAUCAGCACAAAGCUUCAAUUUUUUAAAAUGUUCUUGAAGAUAUUUUACAAUAUUUUAUGUGAAAUGUUGCUUUAGAAGUAUUGUAUACUCAUUUCUAAUUCAUUUCAUUUAAUGAAUGACAGUAAAAGGGGAAUAACUCUUGUAUUCCUCAUUCUUACUGGUACAUGAUAUAUCUACACGUUUCAAUCUAUGUACAAUUCAACACUAAUGUAAUACAUCAAAAAUCAAAACAGUUAUCAAAUUUAAAAAAAAAACAAACAAAAUAAAUGGAUUAUAGUUAAACAAAAAAAAUAAUCAAAAAUACCAUUUCAACCAUGCCACUCUACUAUAAUGGUAAAAAACAUUUUAUAUUUUAACACAACUUUUGCUAGGAACUUACAACAUAUAUCUGUUUAAACACAACUUAAAUAUCACCAGGAAUUUUAAAGGACUAGACAUAUGAUAAAUAGACUUGCAAAAAUUGAACCAACAUGACAAUUUUUACACAUGAUAAAUGAUGUGACACAAAUUUGCAUAAAUGUACAUGUAAUAAGCUAGUAUUUCUUAACUUAAUGCGCUGUCUUUGAUUAAUCUAUGUUGAGGACCAAUCUUUCACAACUAAUGUUCAUGUUCUAAGGCCAUAAUAAAUAAUAGGUUUGUUUGCCGAAACGCUACCUACCCAGAAAAAAGCUGCCUACUCAAAUUCUUUUAUUGUCCUGAUUUGAAGAAGUUUUUUUUUUAAUCAAAUAGGCAUGAAGACUAAUAAACAUCUGAUACUUCAAUUUCUUUUCUACCUACCUACCCACUGUCUCAACCUUUGGGUAGGGUUUGGGUAAACCAAAAUAUUUUAAGUGUGGCCUAAGCUACUACUUCUUAAUUUUUUGUUUGUAAAGACUUUGAUUAAUUAAUGGUGAGGACUUAAUUUCUACUGACUAAUGUACAUAAACUAAGCUACUAUUUCUUAACUUUAUGCUCUGUCUUUGAUUAUUAAAUGGUGACGAAAUGCAGUGGCAGAUCCAGGGAAAAGGGGGAGGGUGUGUGUUCAGGGGUUUGACACCCCCUCUUUAUCUUGGCGAUCAAUACAUUUGAAUGGGGACAAAUGAUUGGAACCCCCUUUUAAAAAUGACUGGAUCUGCCCCUGAAUUGGUCAAUAUAAACUUGCUACGCUACUUUUUCAUACUUAAAAGUAUGCUCCGACUUUGAUUAUUAAAUGGUGGCGAGCACUAGUAACAAAUUGCAGUGGCAGAUCCAAGGAAAAAGGGGGGGGGGGGUUCAGGGGUUUGGAACCCCCUCUUUAUCUUGGCGAUCAAUACAUUUUAAUGGGGACAUAUGAUUGGAACCCCCUUUUAAAAAUGACUAGAUCUGCCCCUGAAUUGGUAAAUAUAAACUUGCUACACUACUUUUUCAUACUUAAAGUAUGCUCCGACUUUGAUUAUUCAAUCUUGAGGAGCAUUUGUUAAUGAUUGGUCAGGAUAAAGUUUACGUUAGGUAAAUAUGUCUGAUUGAACAUUAUACCAUGUAACUUUAAGUAUAUAAAGUUCAGUUUGGAAGCAUUAGCAAAAAGUUUGACUAGGUCUAUCUCACUAUGUCUAUCUCAUGGUUAUGACCAGACUGCAAUGUUGAAUUCUUGCACAAAGUCAUGCAGCCGAAUAUUUUUUAUUAAAGUACUCAACAUGCAUUAACCAAAAAUAUCUCAUGCCUGUCUUUCAGAUUCAAACAAAACUUCAAUAAGCUACGAAAAUGUCAAUUAAUAUUGUAAUGAUUUUAUGGUUAAUGGGUCCUGCCUGGAAAAAUUAUGCAUGCUUUAUGUAAAAAGAAGGAAUUAAUGUACAUUUUUGUAGCUCUACACCGGUAAAUCAUGCUGUAAGAACAUUAAAUAUUUCAUUUCAAUGUAAAACAUUUGUUUUUGUAUAUAUAAAUGCAAUGCUGCCCAUCAAAGGUCGUUAAUUAGGCAGCAACCAUUUGAUUUUCGGGGGGGGGGCUAUGGUUUUUUUUUCUGUACAAACUUUUUUUUUCGCCUGUGGCGAAAAACAAU
rnacentral:lncRNA from 1 species